UACGUAGGGGGCAAGCGUUGUCCGGAAUUAUUGGGCGUAAAGCGCGCGCAGGCGGUUAAUUAAGUCUGGGGUUUAAUCCCGGGGCUCAACCCCGGUUCGCAUCGGAAACUGGUUAACUUGAGUGUAGGAGAGGAAAGUGGAAUUCCACGUGUAGCGGUGAAAUGCGUAGAGAUGUGGAGGAACACCAGUGGCGAAGGCGACUACCUGGCCUGUUCUUGACGCUGAGGCGCGAAAGCUAGGGGAGCAAACGGG
rnacentral:rRNA from 1 species